rnacentral:rRNA from 1 species
CUACGGGUGGCUGCAGUGAGGAAUAUUGCACAAUGGGGGGAACCCUGAUGCAGCAACGCCGCGUGGAGGAUGACGCAUUUCGGUGUGUAAACUCCUUUUAUAUGUCAAGAAAAUGACGGUAGCAUAUGAAUAAGCACCGGCUAACUCCGUGCGCAGCAGCCGCGGUAAUACGGAGGGUGCAAGCGUUACUCGGAAUCACUGGGCGUAAAGGACGCGUAGGCGGGUUGGAAAGUCAGGUGUGAAAUCCUACAGCUUAACUGUAGAACUGCACUUGAAACUUCUAAUCUAGAGUAUGGGAGGGGGAGAUGGAAUUAGUGGUGUAGGGGUAAAAUCCGUAGAUAUCACUAGGAAUACCUAAAGCGAAGGCGAUCUCCUGGAACAUUACUGACGCCAAGGCGUGAAAGCGUGGGGAGCAAACAGGAUUAGAUACCCGCGUAGUC